GGACUACCAGGGUAUCUAAUCCCGUUUGCUCCCCUGGCUUUCGCGCCUCAGCGUCAGUAGGGACCCAGCGGACCGCUUUCGCCACCGGCGUUCCUUCCGAUAUCAACGCAUUUCACCGCUCCACCGGAAGUUCCGUCCGCCCCUAUCCCCCUCGAGCCACGCAGUAUCGGGGGCACUUUUCCGGUUGGGCCGAAAGAUUUCACCCCCGACUUGCGCGGCCGCCUACGCGCCCUUUAAGCCCAGUGAUUCCGAACAACGUUCGCACGGUUCGUCUUACCGCGGCGGCUGGCAC
rnacentral:rRNA from 1 species